ACACGAACCGCACGAACGUUAUUCGGAAUCACUGGGCUUAAAGGGUGCGUAGGCGGUCCGGUAAGUUGGGUGUGAAAGCCCUCGGCUCAACCGAGGAAUUGCGCCCAAAACUACCGGACUUGAGGAAGACAGAGGUGAGCGGAACUUGCGGUGGAGCGGUGAAAUGCGUUGAUAUCGCAAGGAACACCAGUGGCGAAAGCGGCUCACUGGGUCUUUUCUGACGCUGAGGCACGAAAGCUAGGGGAGCGAACGGGAUUAGAAACCCGAGUAGUCC
rnacentral:rRNA from 1 species